rnacentral:tmRNA from 1 species
GGGGAUGACAGGCUUCGACGGGACGAGUCUGCUUCGAGUGGCGAGCCGAGAGGUGUCCCUCGUUAAAAGGCGCAAAGCACUUUACGUGCCAAAGUCAAUUGGAACACCGUUCCGAUGGCUGCCUAAUCGCAGUUAUUAGACGGUCUGGCCUUUGAGGUCAGCGCUGCUCAACCCCUCGCGCUGGUGGGGGUUGGCUCAGCGUCAUAAUGCCAGCGGGUGCUUCGCAAAUUCUCAUAUGCGGGAGAGCACUGGCUGACUGCCGAACCAUGAGAUGGCCCGCCGUUUACUUUGUUGGUAGAGCUGCGGCGGGCGAGAUUCAAAUACCAACUACGCUCGUAGUCAUUCGCGGUUUAUUCGCUUCGGACCCGGGUUCGAUUCCCGGCAUCUCCACUG